GUCUAUGGCCAUACAACCCUUAACACACCCGAUGUCAUCUGAUCUUGGAAGCUAAGCAGGGUUGGGCCUGGUUAGUACUUGAAUGGGAGACAUUUACCUCUCUUGACAAGUGACAUGUCGUGCUAAGUUCC
rfam:Homo sapiens chromosome 22, GRCh38 reference primary assembly.